GACGAACGCUGGCGGCGUGCCUAAUACAUGCAAGUCGAACGCAUUUUCUUUCACCGUAGCUUGCUACACCGAAAGAAAAUGAGUGGCGAACGGGUGAGUAACACGUGGGUAACCUGCCCAUCAGCGGGGGAUAACACUUGGAAACAGGUGCUAAUACCGCAUAAUUCCAUUUACUGCAUGGUAGAUGGAUGAAAGGCGCUUUUGCGUCACUGAUGGAUGGACCCGCGGUGCAUUAGCUAGUUGGUGGGGUAACGGCCUACCAAGGCUGCGAUGCAUAGCCGACCUGAGAGGGUGAUCGGCCACACUGGGACUGAGACACGGCCCAGACUCCUACGGGAGGCAGCAGUAGGGAAUCUUCGGCAAUGGACGCAAGUCUGACCGAGCAACGCCGCGUGAGUGAAGAAGGUUUUCGGAUCGUAAAACUCUGUUGUUAGAAAAGAACAAGGAUGAGAGUGGAAAGUUCAUCCCUUGACGGUAUCUGACCAGAAAGCCACGGCUAACUACGUG
rnacentral:rRNA from 1 species